rnacentral:lncRNA from 1 species
UGCCCUUGAGGGCACCACUUGAUUCAGCUUCUACAUCUUUCCAUGUAUCCUAUUAUUUCUGAAAUCACUUUGCCUAUAUGUCCUUAAAAUACCUAAAAAUAUACACUCCUUACUAGAUGGCACUUAAUUUCAUUUUAAAUUUUAAAAGAGGAAAAAUGUUAGUGCCUUUUAUCCUGGAAUCUGACAUUUCUUCUUGGGUCAGAAUAUCUGGAGUUUCUGUGGUUCAUCAAUGUCCAGGAAACUAAGCACUAAACCUUUCACAGAUUUCUGCUAUAAAGAUUUUUACAAACAUACACUGAUGCAAAGGCUCAGUUGUCACCUCGAAAGACAGUGGUGUUCCUCAGCCUUCCUGUCUGGCCCUGAUUAGCACAGACAUAAAUAGUGUAGGCCUCUGGUGUGGCCUUGUCACAGUUCACUCACCUUGGCUAUUAAUGGCCUUUACCUGACAGAGCAAAUGACCUGUCAUGGGUCGAGUGAACAAAAGAAAUCAUAAAUAUUCAAGCAAAAGGGGAAAAAAUAUAGGCACAUGUAAAGUUCUAAGCCAAGGUCACCCAGCCUAUAGCUGUCAGCCAGAAAUUGUCACCGUCUUUCCUCCCAUGAGGCAUUACUGCGUGGAGAACAUGUGUUCCUGUGACCUGGCUUCCAUGUUGGACUCGGACACCAAGGCCUGGAUUCACCACCACUCCACCACUGCAGCGGGAGCUCAAGGAGUCUCAGCUUAUUUCUUAGGAAAUUACCUCCAGGCCUGCCAAAGUCACAGAGAGCUGUGGGAUUUCACUCGUCUUUGCAUGUGGAACACUUGAACAUCCCUCGUGAUUUUCUUCACUCCUAUUUACUGAAGAGAAAACAGAAGAUCUGGGAAAGAUCUGGGCUGCUUGCCUCUGGUCUCUUGUCUGCCCUGCUGGCAAGCAUCCAGGUGACAGUUCCAGGAAUGAGGCUGGGGACUGUGAACAGAUCCAUACCUGCUGCUUCAGUUCAGUUCAGUUCAGUCGCUCAGUCGUGUCCAACUCUUUGCGACCCCAUGAAUCGCAGCACGCCAGACCUCCCUGUCCAUCACCAACUCCUGGAGUUCACUCAAACUCAUGUGCAUCGAGUUGGUGAUGCCAUCCAGCCAUCUCAUCCUCUGUCGUCCCCUUCUCCUCCUGCCCCCAACCCCUCCCAGCAUCAGGGUCUUUUCCAAUGA